UACGAAUGGGGCGAGCGUUGUUCGGAAUUACUGGGCGUAAAGGGCGCGUAGGCGGCCGAUCAAGUCCGAUGUGAAAGUCCUGGGCUUAACCUGGGGACUGCAUUUGAUACUGAUUGGCUUGAAUGCAGGAGAGGAUAGCGGAAUUCCCAGUGUAGAGGUGAAAUUCGUAGAUAUUGGGAAGAACACCGGUGGCGAAGGCGGCUAUCUGGACUGUGAUUGACGCUGAGGCGCGAAAGCGUGGGGAGCAAACAGG
rnacentral:rRNA from 1 species